rnacentral:sRNA from 1 species
CAGUUUUUUCCAUUUAUUAAUCUAUAUGACUAAUUUUUGUUGCUAGUUGUACGAUCGAUGUGUAUGACAAGCCGCCCAUAGGCCGGGACAAGUGCAAUGUUUGUUCAAAAUUUAAAACGUUGACACCUUCCCGUCCUACGGGCAAUCUCUAUGGUAUUCCGAGUAGUACUGUAGUCUUGUCCUACAGGAUAUGCAUAUAAAGAGCAGAGGAAUAUAAAGUUUCAGCAGUACAUGAAAAAUUUUUAUUAAAAUAAAAUUCCCGCCAAAAAAAAAAUCCAAAGCAUUUCAACAGCAGACAACAGCAACAACAAAAACUGCAUUUCAGAUUAAAUUUCCGCCCCUACUUGAAUGGAUGGCUCUCACAUGUCUCUGUGUCGUGUCCUUUGUGCGGGCGGAGACCAAAAGCAAAGCAACAAAAAAAAGAAUGCCCAACAAUAGUCGCAAAAAGGAUCCUUCUGGACAGAAGUAGGACCAGGAGCAGCAGCAGCAGCGGCAGGAGUUGGACGCGCUGUUCGGAUCGGAUCGGAUGGGAUCGUAUAGGAUCAGGCGGCCUAAGCAGAACAAGGGAAAGCACUACAAUACAUACAGAUACAUACAUAUGUAUGUACAUAUCUGGGGUAUGUAUGUAUGCUGCUGGAUCCAUUAACACAGUUGGCCAACAUCAACACAAUCUGAAAUCCAAAGCGUGACAAAUUCGUAGAAACAAAACCCUGGCGGCACUGAGCUGAUGAUCCCCGAGCGGAAGAAUUGCCAUAGCAGCAUAAAAAUCUCUCGCUGAAUUACACUGAAAUUCGUGAAAAUCCCAGACCAGAGUUCCUUCCUCCUCUCGUGCCUUUUCUGGGCUCUCAAUUUCUUCAAGUGUGGAGUCGGGCCUUAUCUUAACGAAAGAAGCCGCGCAGAAAAUAAUCAUAAUAUUGAAGGGGGAAUCGUAUUUGUUUAUUUGAUCGCUGCGGGGGCUACCACGGCAUUAGAGGAGGUUUUAAUGUUCUGUUCCCUAUGACACACACACUGGGCACCGAAAAACGAACAAACUCUGCAAUAAAUUCAUAUUU